rfam:Picea glauca, whole genome shotgun sequence.
GAAAUUUGUCGGCUUAAAGAUGAUCAAAUAUUGUCAGAGUCUCAACCAUAAAUUAUUCUCACUAGGGAUUAAUGGAUCUUUCUCUAAAGAUUCCACCAGCACCUUAUGACAAAUCAGAGCAUUUGGGU